rnacentral:rRNA from 1 species
AACGAACGCUGGCGGCAUGCCUAACACAUGCAAGUCGAACGAGACCUUCGGGUCUAGUGGCGCACGGGUGCGUAACGCGUGGGAACCUGCCCUUAGGUUCGGAAUAACUCCCCGAAAGGGGUGCUAAUACCGGAUAAUGUCUUCGGACCAAAGAUUUAUCGACUUUGGAUGGGCCCGCGUUGGAUUAGCUAGUUGGUAGGGUAAAAGCCUACCAAGGCGAGGAUCCAUAGCUGGUUUGAGAGGAUGAUCAGCCACACUGGGACUGAGACACGGCCCAGAAUCCUACGGGAGGGAGCAGUGGGGAAUAUUGCACAAUGGGCGAAAGCCUGAUCCAGCAAUGCCGCGUGAGUGAUGAAGGCCUGAGGGUUGUAAAGCUCAUUUACCCGGGAUGAUAAUGACAGUACCGGGAGAAUAAGCUCCGGCUAACUCCGUG